CCCCCCCCCCCUGGAUUCCCCCUCCUUCAUAUCCAUAGAUUGAUCUUGCCCACCACAUGUUCGUUCAAAUGUCCAACAAUUUGGGCAUUGAUGAUUCCCGAGUUGGGUAAUUCUUUUUUGUCUGCAAGAGAUGUAAGACACAAAAAUGCUUUGCUGUCAGAUAUCUCCAGGGAUUUGGCAAAAGGUAUUUCAAGGAGAAAGCACUUAACUUCUGCUUUGAGAGGAGAGGUGCAGUCAAAGAUGCCAAUUUUAGUGUUGAUCUGGUGCUAAAUUCAGAUUUAGGUGGCCUUGCAGUGCUGACAGUGAUGGCUUCCUUCUUGGAACCGUGUCGUUCUGCUAGGCCACUUUUUUGGCACCUCCAAGAUGCUGGUCACCACUGCCCUCAAGCGUCCAGGAAAGAGCAGCGGCGUUGACUGGAUUGGCAACGCUGUCCUGCACCUUCGCUGCCUCUUUCACUUAGGAGCCAGUGAGCUAGCUCUUCUGAGUUGCAUAUCCAACAAAAAAAGAGCAAUAAGCGGCCCCAUGGUGAGCACGGGGACACGGAGGCUAGCAACGACCACAGGGUGAGCUGAUGAGCUAGCUCACCACUGAGGUUGCUUUCAGAUUUUCGCUGGUAAAAAUGGUUGAUGUGGAUCUAGAUGGGUUAAUUAGAUGUGGAUUUAGGUGGUUAUAAGGUAGUGAAGUUCAUCAAGUGUGAUAAGUAUCUGGCAAUACUAAGCAUUAUUUGUUUUCAGACGAGUCAAUCCUAUGGUCAUUUCUUCAAGUAGGUUAUAUGCAUUAGGCGCAUGGUUUGUAACUUCCAGCACAAAGAAAGCAAUAUUAGUGGAUGGUGACAAGAAGGCUGGCGUGUCUGAGUUCAUGGUGUUCAAUAAGGAUGACUCCACAUAUUUAUUUUAGUCUCAGAGAACAAAAUGAAUGGAGUCCUGACUAAAAGAAAUAGGAGAUCAGGUCUAUGGCGUGCUGGCACUAGCACUACUGAAGCAAGACAAGUGCAGGGCUCUCCAUCAAGCAGACUGUCACCACCUUCGAGAACAGAAAGUCCAUGACCCCAAUUAGGCGGCAGGGCAGGGGCGGCAGAUUAUGCCAGGUAUUACCUAGGACAUGGCAAAGGCCGUGCCUCGAGAGGGUCGUAUUUGUGAUUACUAGGUCCUUCUACACGACCAUGUUGCCAGUUCAUUUUGGACAAAACUCGAAGAUUAUAAGUUAGUAUAUUAGCCUUUUUUGAGCACUUAAUUCAAAGUAAUUGAUUAUUUAGGUCUAACGAGCAGUAAAUGACUGUAUAGCUUGGUUAAUAACCAGUAGAGGUAUUCUUGUGAAAUAAUUUUCUUAGCCAUACAUUUACAACAGCCUUUUAGCGUUUACUCUAGCAUUUGAAAGGGCAACACAAUUUAUAUUAUGUUCUAUGUCAUACGGUUAUGUAACGAUGAUGUUGUGGGCUUUGUGUUAACUGGUUAUGGUACGAUUUCAGUGGGAAGUUCCCUGUUACGGGUUAGAGCCCUGACAAUAUCUGAUGGAUUUCUUGAAGUAGUGGUUCUAAACUUGAUCAGGAGGAAACAAGCCUAAAGUUGAUAUCUUCAGAUCGUUGACUAUGGUUGAUCCAAUACUAGAAGGAUGAAAGAAGCUUUGCCAUGGUUGGUUUCCUACUACUUUGUAGGAGGCGAGGAGUUCUUGAGAAUUUACAAGGUUUAUGAUGAAACCACCUAUAUUGGUAGAUGACCUACCAAUUUACCUUGACAAGGACAAUUCAUAAGUAAUAUUGAGGAUAUUGUGGUGCCUCUUUGGUUUCAAAUUGCAGGGGCCCUACAUCAAAUUGCUUCAUUGUUUUCCAGUGUAUACUUGCAUUUAAAUUAGCUCCAGUGUUCCCAGAAAAGCUUAGCUCUGUAGCCAAAGGACCAUCAAAGCUACAUAAGAUUGUACACUAGAAGGUAUAAUGUUCCUUUCAGUGUCCAAUUUAUUUAGUGCAGAUUUUAGCCAUAUAUGAAGUAGUUUCCAGCAGCAUAGAAGCUUUAGAUUUUGAUGUAGAAUCAAAUUGGCAGAGCUAGCAUUCACAUUCUUCAAACUUCAGGAGGAAGUUGCUUGAGAACAAUGAAGAUAUCCACAUUCUUCUA